UAGUCCACGCCGUAAACGAUGUCAACUAGCCGUUGGAGUCCUUGAGGCUUUAGUGGCGCAGCUAACGCAAUAAGUUGACCGCCUGGGGAGUACGGCCGCAAGGUUAAAACUCAAAUGAAUUGACGGGGGCCCGCACAAGCGGUGGAGCAUGUGGUUUAAUUCGAGGCAACGCGAAGAACCUUACCAGCCCUUGACAUCCCGGUCGCGGAUAGCAGAGAUGCUUUCCUUCAGUUCGGCUGGACCGGUGACAGGUGCUGCAUGGCUGUCGUCAGCUCGAGUCGUGAGAUGUUGGGUUAAGUCCCGCAACGAGCGCAACCCUUACCUUUAGUUGCCAGCAUUUAGUUGGGCACUCUAGAGGGACUGCCGGUGAUAAGCCGGAGGAAGGUGGGGAUGACGUCAAGUCAUCAUGGCCCUUAUGGGCUGGGCUACACACGUGCUACAAUGGCGGUGACAGAGGGCAGCCACUCCGCAAGGAGGAGCUAAUCCCUAAAAACCGUCUCAGUUCGGAUUGUA
rnacentral:rRNA from 1 species